rnacentral:rRNA from 1 species
CUUGGUCAUUUAGAGGAAGUAAAAGUCGUAACAAGGUUUCCGUAGGUGAACCUGCGGAAGGAUCAUUACUGAUUGCAAUCGUUGCCUGCUGUGCUGGCCAGACUGGCAAGUGCACGUUGGUGACUUUCAAUCCACUACCCGUGCACCCUUGGCCUCUUGCUAGCUUCGGCCGGCAGAGGAAUUUACACACACUCGAAUGUAAUGAAAUAUAUGUCGUGCGCAAGCACUAAUGUACAACUUUCAACAACGGAUCUCUUGGCUCUCGCAUCGAUGAAGAACGCAGCGAAAUGCGAUAAGUAAUGUGAAUUGCAGAAUUCAGUGAAUCAUCGAAUCUUUGAACGCACCUUGCACCCUUUGGCAUUCCGAAGGGUAUGCUCGUUUGAGUGUCAUUGUACUCUCACACUCCCGAUCGUUGGAUUGGGAGCGGUGGACUUGGGUUUGCUGCUUACCGUGGCUCACCUCAAAUCGAUUCGUGCACCUCUUGGUUGGACAUAGUACGGCGUGAUAAAUUCUUCGCCGGCGCCUCAGUAGAGGGUGGCCGAUCGGGAGCUCUGUGCUUCCAACCGUCUUCGGACAACAACUGACAACUUGACCUCAAAUCGAGUAGGACUACCCGCUGAACUUAAGCAUAUCAAUAAGCGGAGGA